rnacentral:rRNA from 1 species
CGUUCUCAGUUCGGAUCGGAGUCUGCAACCCGACUCCGUGAAGCUGGAUUCGCUAGUAAUCGCGCAUCAGCCAUGGCGCGGUGAAUACGUUCCCGGGCCUUGUACACACCGCCCGUCAAGCCAUGGGAGCCGGGGGUGCUUGAAGUGCGUCGCCGCAAGGCGCGCCCUAGAGCAAAACCGGUGACUGGGGCUAAGUCGUAACAAGGUAAC